AAGGGAGACCUAAUUCGGGUAUAAGACGAAAAAAUAGUAGUCGAAACCAAGAAUCAAUCCCAAAAGGUCGGAGCGAGGCAUGAGGCUUUCAAACUAGGUUCUGGGUUCAUAAAAGACCUGAAUCAGGAACAAGGGCUAUUAGCUCAGGUGGUUAGAGCGCACCCCUGAUAAGGGUGAGGUCCCUGGUUCGAGUCCAGGAUGGCCCACCUGCACAGGUGGCAAAAAGAAAGAAAAGAAGCGAGGAAUCAGCACCUUAUCUUACUUACAUAGUAAGAGAGAGUGCUGGCUCUGAGUUCAGAGUCCAGAGGAACCUUGAAAACUGCAUAGAGCUAGGUGAAAAAGCCAAAAAAGAAGACCGCAA
rnacentral:tRNA from 1 species